UAAGCUCUAGUUACACUAGAAUCAUACCCCCCCACCACUAUAAUUAACAUUAUUUCAACCACUACCACUGUACUAAUAUGUGCUUUCCCCACUCCGAGUAUAAGAGUUAUCACUUCUAAAAUCACGACCACCAAAAUGCCCACACCACGUCUACUUUUACCUCUAUAUGGAGCUCGACUUGUAAACCAAAUUAGCCAAUGGGUACCUCUUGAUUGGCUUAUCAAAUCAGCUGGUGGCUUUGUUGAUACGUGAGCAAUGUAGGGAAUAUCAAGGCCAUGACCU
rnacentral:lncRNA from 1 species